rnacentral:lncRNA from 1 species
UAUUCAAGGGUAAUUAAUAGCCAAACAUGUGUACAAAUAUAAAUGUAAUAAGGAUAUAUAAUAGUCUGUGGUACAAAUACUUUGAGCUGCAACCCAAGGAAAUGUAUGAUUAUUGUGAGGAGAGAAAAAAACAAUUACAGAGUAUAUACCCAGAAAGCCAAAACUAUACAACAAGACAGAAUUAAUUAUAAUCCCAUGAAAUUGAUGCCUGAAAAUGAACUUGCAAGGAAGAAAAAUAAAGAGGAGAAGUAAUUAAUUCUCAAAAACUAACCAAAAAACAGUAAGUUACAUAAAUCAAAUAAGAAUUAACUGAUCUUGCAACAAAAAUUAACAAAUAACGGUAAGUACAGAGAAAGAAAUGGUAUAUUAGUACCUGUGACAUGGGCUCUCAGCUUUAAUUUGAGCACUCAAGCAAAUCCCCAUAUGAAACUACAUCAAUAAAUGAACAAGGGACUGCUCCAAGUUUCUUCUUCCUUUAACCCUGCAGCUCAGCGAAAUACUAAUCUUUAGGAGCUGCAAAAAAAAAAAGCGGACUUGUUUGUGAAAAGCUGGAAGGGAAAAAAACUUUACUUUUUCCGUACAGAAACCAUGGUUUUUACCAAAAACACAGCUCAUUAAUUGAUUUUUUUUUAAUAAAAAAAAUCAAGUAUAGAAUUUGAAUUAAGCAGAAACCCAUAACAUAAUAAUCAAAAAACUAGUAACCCACCUUUGUUUAUGUGAAAACACAACCAGAACUUAAGGGAGAGAAAGGGUUAAAGAGAAAGAAGGGUUUGUUG